rnacentral:snRNA from 1 species
GUGCUCACUUCAGUAGCACAUACACUAAAAUUGGAAUGAUACAGAAAAGAUUAUCAUGGUCCCUCUGUGAGGAUGUCAUGCAAAUUUGUGAAGUGUGCCAUAUUUUA